AUUCCAGAGUUGCAAUAUCUUGUUUUUGGGAGGAUCCUGACUCCACUUAGGGGCUGGUAGCCUUUAAGGUGGUAUCCAUCUUUAGAGACUGUCUUCUUGGGAGUGUGGGGUGAGGUCUGGUCCUUAAGAAAAGAUGAGUGAUUCCUUCUUAUUUUAAGGCUGUGACCUUUCCCUUUUGGUUUUUGGGGCAUCCUGACCACAUCUAAGUGCUGACAGAUGUAAGGGCAAUGUUGAUCUCCGGAGACUGUCUCCUGUGGAGCAUGAUAUCCUGACCACUUUUAAGGGGUGGAAGCCAUAAGGGUAGCAUCUCUACCUGGAGACUACUUCCUUGGCAGUGUGGGCUGAGUGUUCAUCUGUGGAAUGGGGUAACUUACUCUUCCUUUAUUUCAGGGCUGUUAUGCACUGCUUCCAACCAUGCAGAGUUGUUUAAGGGCAUUCUGUGCACCCUUAGGUGUAAUAAGUCUUCAUCUUUAUAGGAAGCCAAGGUUUGUCCUCUUCUGGACCGCUGUACUCAGCAUCACCCCAGAUAUCUCCAUCCUAAUUGUCUGGAGAUGCUGUUAGUUUCCUAAUCUGUAUGACACCCAAACCCCAAUUCCUCUUCCUCCCACCCCCUGACCUGCAUUCAAUGCUCUGCAGCUCUGGUUCCCAACAGCGUGAUGAAGUGAAGCCCCUGCUCUGCUGAAUACUGGGACUGGCUCAGAGAGGCUCUGUGACGGAUGUGGAUUAUCCCAGCUGGAGCACCUGGUACCAUUGGUGGUGAUCUCGUCCAACUGCCACACAACGAACAGGAACAUCCACAGCCAGAUCAGUGUCCAGAGCCUGACCCAGCCUCACCUUGGAAGGGACAGGGCAUUCAUCAUGUCUGGGUAAUCUGUUCUGCUGUGUCACCACCAUCACUGUACAAGAUUUUCUUCAUAUCUAGGCUAAAUCUUUCCUUGUUCUUCCCUUCAGGUGUUGAAAGGCUGUUACCAGAUCACCUCAGAGCCUUCACUUCUGCAGGCUGAACAGCUCCAGCUCUCUGUCUUUAUAGGAAAGGCGUUCCAUCCCUCGGUUCAUAUCUGUGGCCAUUCUCUGGAUGUGCUCCAACAGCUCCACGUCUGUCCUGCACUGCAGGCAUCCACAUCCACACACAGCACCUCCAGGUGAGGCCUCCCAGCGCAGAGCAGAGGGGCAGGACCGCCUCCCUUCGCCUGCUGACCGCACAUCUUUGGAUGGAGCCCAGCAUACGGUUGGCUUUCUGGGCUGGAAGGCGCGUUGCUGAGUGCCACUACUCAGCCUGUUGAGGUCCCUCUGGAUGGCAUCCCGUCCCUCUGGUGUGUCACCGCACCCCACAGCUCGGUGUCAUUAGGGUGCACUCCACCCCACUGUCAAUGUCGCUGAUGAAGGGGCAAUCCCAGAUGUUUGCGCAAACUCAGCAAAGAACACCUUGAGAGCAGCCCCACAGAGAAGGAUUUGCAGAUCCUGGUGGAUGAGAAGCUGGACGUCAGCCAGCAGAGCGGGCUUGCAGCCUGGAAGGCCAGCUGUGUUCUGGGCUGCAUUAAAAGAGGAGCGGCCAGCAGGGAGAGGGAGGCGAUCGUCCCCAUCUACUCGGCUCUUGUGAGGCUUCAUCUGCAGUGCUGCAUCCAGGCCUGGGGCCCCCAGCACAGGAAGGACGUGGAGCUCACGGAGCGGGUCCAGAGGAGGCACUGAGAUGAUCGGAUGGUUGGAGCAGCUCUCCUACAAGGAAAGGUUGAGGGAAGUGGGCUUGUUCAGCCUGGAGAAGAGAAGGCUUGGGGGGGACCUCGUUGCAGCCUCACAGUACUUGAAAGGGGGAACAGCAGGAAGGGGAACGGCUGUUUACGAGGGUGGAUUGUGAUAGGACAAGGGGAAUGGUUUUAAUCUGAGACAGGGGAGUUUUAGGUUGGUUAUUAGGAGGAAGCUUUUCACACAGAGGGUGGUGACGCACUGGAACGUGCUUCAGAGUCACUUCCAGGAGGAUCUGCUCCGUGUUUUUUUGCAGCACAGAGGUGAGACUGACAUGUUGGCAAUUCCUAGGGUCACACUUUAUAUCUGCAGUAAUAGCUGUGCUGUCGCCUUUUUUCUGCUCACCAGGGACUUCACCUGACUGCCUCGACUUCUCAAGUACCACUGAGAGUGGCUCGGUGACUGCAGCACUGAAUUCCCUCAGAGCUCUGGGACUCGUCUCAUCAGGACCCAAAGACUCCUGGAUGCUCGGGUCCUCAGGUGGCAGCAGGCUGCGGCACUCCCGAGUGCCGUAACGACCGCAUGGAGAUGCGUGGCUCUUAUGGGAACAGCAAGGAACCGGAAUCUGCAUUUCCUGGAAUGCCCGGAACCCCGCUUUGCUGGCUGGUAAUUGUCUGCCCAGCAGGUGGCAGCGGAGUUGCGUUGCUCCUGAGCGCUGUAAGGACAGCACGGAGAUGCGCGGCUCUUCAGGCAGCAGCAAGGAACCGGAAUCUGCAUUUCCUGGGAUGCCCGGAACCCCGCUUUGCUGGCCGGUAAUUGUCUGCCCAGCAGGUGAAGAUGCCUUCGACGCUUCCAGUCGAUGACUUCCCCCCUGCGACGCCAUUGGCUUUCCAGGCCUCCCACACUCACCGCCAGCUCGGUUCGGUCCAGCCGUUACCCGAAUCCCCGCUCCGUUCCCUUUCCAUGAUCUUCCCGUCACUCUGCCACAAGCCCCUACCAAGGUCAUCGCAGGCAGCGUGUGGGAUGCGGCGCUCGGUCUCAUUACAGUUCAUCCCAUCGGCCUCAGCCCAGCGAUCCAACCCACCCGCACCCUUCCUGAGGGCCCUUCUGCUCCCAGGCCAAUCAACGCUUCCUUCUGAUGCCAUCUGAGUUCCCUCCAGGCCACUUUCAGACUCAUGCCCCUUUGUG